CAAGAAGUAGUUUAUUUAAAAUAUUAAUUUUGGAGAUUAAUGAAGGAUUAUUCUUUUCUUGA
rnacentral:tRNA from 1 species